AUCACUACUUUUUUGUACUUCUAGAAAGCAUUUCAAGAAAAACAGAAGAGGUGUCAACAACAUACAAGUGUUAGGAGAGGGGGGCUGAAAGAGGUGAAGCCGCUACGUGAGCAAUUCAUAAAGUUUUC
rnacentral:lncRNA from 1 species